rnacentral:rRNA from 1 species
UACAGAGGGGGCUAGCGUUGUUCGGAAUUACUGGGCGUAAAGCGCACGUAGGCGGCUUUUUAAGUCAGGGGUGAAAUCCCGGGGCUCAACCCCGGAACUGCCCUUGAAACUGGAGAGCUAGAAUCUUGGAGAGGCGAGUGGAAUUCCGAGUGUAGAGGUGAAAUUCGUAGAUAUCGGAAGGAACACCUGUGGCGAAAGCGGCUCACUGGACCAUUACUGACGCUGAGGCACGAAAGCUAGGGGAGCAAACAGG